UAUGCUUAGAUUAAAACAGGAAACAAAGUUGAAGUAGAAAAAGAGAUUAAAAAAGAACAGUCCCUAGCGAAGGAUGAAGAAAAUUCCAAAGAUGAAGUUGAAAAUGAAGAAAUAGAUACUGCAGAGACAGAAACUGCAGAGGCAGAAACUACAGAAACUGCAUCAAAAGUACAGAGUAAUGGAUUUCCAGAAGACAUGCCAAGACCAGUGCCUCCAACCUGGAAUUCUGAGCUUGUAAGACAGCUGGUUGUUGUUGGAAAAAACUGCUCAAAAGUGGGCUUCUAACAGCAAAAGAAGAACAAUGGUGGCAUGAGUUGUCUGUUACUAAAAUACAGGGUGGUGAU